GUUAGGCAUGAAUGACACGAGUUGCCCCAUCUCUACAUGUGGCGUUCAUAUUCUGAUAAAAAAUGCUCAACCACAAUCAGGAUUUCUUGUGAAAUUCCUAUACUUCUUCAGAUGGAUGCCUUUUUUGUUGGGAACAACUCUUUAUCUACUUUAUCGAUUACUUGCCACAAAUGAUAAGGAUUAUAAAUAGUGCCCGCUAGCCAGGAUUUUAAUCAUAGCGAUUCUAAGGAAUAUGAUAAGGAUCAUCUGAUGGUUCUCUCUUUUAUGUUGCUUUGCGUUUCACUGCUCAGUGGUGUAUACAUGUUGUGUAUUUACGUGCGUGCCAAGCAGGAGAAGGAUCCUGAUUGUUAUUGUUUUGUUA